CUGUGAUUGGGUUGAGCGAUACGAAUCAGAAAAAGAGACCGCGAGAAUUCACUUUGAGGAACUCCAACAACGUUUAGACGGAACGAUUCCGACAAGUCAAUGGUAAAUACAAAAUAUAUUUUAUGGCAUGUCACAUUGGGUCGUGUUUGCACUUUUAUAGACUAUACAGAUUUGAGUAAAUUGUAUGUUUUUUAUUUAAAAUACUUAGGUGCAAGUGUAACAACUGCGACACAAGUCUGUUGCAGAACGAGUACGAAACUCAAUGUUGUCAAGAAAUUGAUCGAUGCACAAAGGCAUUGAGUUCCGAUGAUGUCUUACAAGACGUCGAAAUACCCCCUACUUGUGUGCU